CCGACUCUCUGCAACCCUAUGGACUGUAUGUAGCCUGCCAGGCUCCUCGGUCCAUGGGAUUCUCCAGGCAGCAAUACUGGAGUGGUUUGCCAUGCCCUCCUCCAGGGGAUCUUCCCGACCCAGGGAUGCAUUGGCAGGCGGGUUCUCUACCACUAGCACCACCUGGGAAGCCCACUUGCUGUAGUGCUGACAAAGGAAGCAGAGCCAAGACCUCUGGCCCAACAAAGUUGAGCAAGACCUGACAGCCCUCCCACAGAGGUGCGCUCAUUUCCUUCCCUCAGUGGAGCGUCCGUUGUCCCAACGUGAUCCCUCCCCGCCCCCACCCGUUGGUUUGAAGGCUAUCUUAUCUAUGUGGCAGAAACGCACAUUUUGGAGUUUACCACUAGAAAUACUAUUUAAACCCCAGAGGAGUAAGUUUAAGUGGAGAUCAGAAGACCCUGGAGUUCUCUGAAACAAGUGCAGGAAAAGAUGCUGGGCAAUUCUUUCCUAACACCCUUCUGUGUUGUUGAAAUGGCAUUCUCCAUGGGCAUCUCAAUGAACACAAGGCGCCUCCAUCAUGGGCCCUGUCACAGGAAUGCAGAGCUGAACCUUUUAAACAUGAGAAGGUACUAAGGAAGAUCUCUCUGAAGGAAAGAUAGGAAACAAGUGGCACCGAAUCAGAAGCUGAGGACAUCGUAAAAGUAAACUCUGAAGGCAUUUAUUGUCUGACCAUAGCUAAUGAACCAGUGAGGAAUCAGCAUCAAUAAGAAGCAAAUUAAACACCAGCUCCAGUUAAUUAGUAACCACAGCUGCCUGCUUUCCUACAUUCAAUUUCAGACUCACAUUAUGAAUUGCCUCCCUGGAGAAACCAGCCCCCUCCUCCCCCAAAAAGCCUUGAUCCAAUAAACUAACUUUUAAUGGAGCAGCAUCUUUCAAUCGAAGGACGGCAACUUAUCUCUGGGUCCUAGCUCUAUGGUGACACAAAUUCUCUGAGCUGCCCAAUCUCACUCAAGGUUAGUAAUUAAGGCAUAAUUGAAAUGAAAUUAAUUGCAAUAAAUGUGUAAUUAGCACAGCCAUUGAUUAAGGGCAUUUGAAAUGCGG
ensembl:lncRNA